rnacentral:rRNA from 1 species
UACGGGGGGAGCAAGCGUUGUUCGGAUUUACUGGGCGUAAAGGGCGCGUAGGCGGCGCAACAAGUCACUUGUGAAAUCUCCGGGCUUAACCCGGAGCGGCCAAGUGAUACUGUCGUGCUAGAGUGCGGAAGGGGCUACUGGAAUUCUCGGUGUAGCGGUGAAAUGCGUAGAUAUCGAGAGGAACACCUGCGGCGAAGGCGGGUAGCUGGGCCGACACUGACGCUGAUGCGCGAAAGCUAGGGGAGCAAACGGG